UACGUAGGGAGCAAGCGUUGUCCGGAAUCAUUGGGCGUAAAGAGCGCGUAGGCGGCCAGAUAAGUCCGGUGUGAAAGUCACAGGCUCAACCUGUGAAUGCCGCUGGAAAUCUGUCUGGCUAGAGUCCGGAAGGGGCGAGUGGAAUUCCUGGUGUAGCGGUGAAAUGCGCAGAUAUCAGGAGGAACACCAAUGGCGAAGGCAGCUCGCUGGGCCUGCACUGACGCUCAUGCACGAAAGCGUGGGGAGCAAACAGG
rnacentral:rRNA from 1 species